AACGAACGCUGGCGGCAGGCUUAACACAUGCAAGUCGAGCGCCCCGCAAGGGGAGCGGCAGACGGGUGAGUAACACGUGGGGAUCUGCCCAAUGGUACGGAAUAGCUCCGGGAAACUGGAAAUAAUACCGUAUGUGCCCGCAAGGGGAAAGAUUUAUCGCCAUUGGAUGAACCCGCGUCGGAUUAGCUAGUUGGUGAGGUAAAGGCUCACCAAGGCGACGAUCCGUAGCUGGUCUGAGAGGAUGAUCAGCCACACUGGGACUGAGACACGGCCCAGACUCCUACGGGAGGCAGCAGUGGGGAAUAUUGGACAAUGGGCGCAAGCCUGAUCCAGCCAUGCCGCGUGAGUGAUGAAGGCCUUAGGGUUGUAAAGCUCUUUCGCCGACGAAGAUAAUGACGGUAGUCGGAGAAGAAGCCCCGGCUAACUUCGUG
rnacentral:rRNA from 1 species